UAUCCUCUCAGAUUCUGAACACAUCAACCCCUCCUGACAUGUCAUCUUUCCAGUUUAAGAUAGCUCAUCGUCUCUACACACCCUAUCUACAUUGAAGUCACCCCUUGUAUUUGUCACCAGAUCACACCAAGCUAAGCCAGUAACCAUCAGCUGACCUUGGACUUGCCAAUGGUAGGUGUGUGUUUUUCUUAGUUUUGCUUGGCCCCCAACAAAUUCAAUGUGUGAUGCCUCUCCAAUGUCUUUCACAUCAGGGCACUUAACUUCUACCAGGCCAUAGGAAGGUUCUUCAUUUGGGUGCACCACUUUGCCAUCUGGACUUGCACUAAGGUGUGGAGCAUCUGGGUGGAUGAUGAGACCAGAUGGAAGAACAUUAACAUCAAAGGUCUCAGCUAGGGCUGAGCGAUUUGUCAAAAAAUUGAAAAAUCGAUUUUUUCAGGACAUUUGACCGAUUCUCGAUUUUUUUUACAAUUUUUAACUAGUCAACUUGAAAAUGUAACUACAACAUGAUUCAAGUAACUUUUUCUUUAUUAACCCUCUAGUUAAAGAAAUUAUAUUCCAAGUGCAGCACACAGUUGUCAACAUGAUGUAAAUGUUAAACAAAUCACUUGUUAAAUAUCUUUGCAGAAACGAUGCAUUGCUUUGGUGUGGGGGGCACCUUUAAUGAUCCGGCCAGCCCGUGUCAUUGCAGUGGAUUCGGACCUCACAUGAGCUGCUUCAUAGAACUUGCUUGCUGUAAGUCAAGGGCAAUGCAUUCUAACCCAUAGUGGGCUUUUUGAUUGAUCACGUGUUCCCUCCUCAAUGAUCCCUGUCAUUUCAGAUGUCACCUCCAGACUCUGCAUAUGCAGGAGUUCAGCGCAGCUGCCAGCGACGAAAUUAUAUGGUGGAAGCUUGUAUUGUGGGACAGGUAAUGGGGGGAAUUGUGGAGCAUUUGGAUUUGUAAGUACAUCCUUUGACAGCACAGCUGGACACUGGUAUGACAGCAGUGAUCCUUUUGGGACCUCUCCAAAUUUAGAAGACACCAUGGUUAGAGCAGACAUUCCAUCAACUAUCUUCGCUAUCAGUGGUUGUGGACAACGGGAAAUGAGGGAUGCUGCUCCAGCAAUGACAUCAUUGUCAGAGUAGACUGCACAGAGCUCCUACCAGAGGCUUUCGGUUUGCGCACCACAAGCUCAUCGACUGGUUUGGGAGUGAUGCACUGACAAAACAUGUAUAUCUUGCACUAGAUUGCACUCUGAUUUGCACAUUAUGCAUUUUAAAUUAAUUUUAUUUGUUAAUGGUUGGCAAAUUAAAAUUGUUAAAAACUGACGAAUGAGGUUUCUGUCUUUAUUUAUUUAUAUUUACCUGGGUUCGGA
rnacentral:lncRNA from 1 species